rnacentral:rRNA from 1 species
ACAUGCAGUCGAGCGAACGGAUAAGGAGCUUGCUCCUUUGAAGUUAGCGGCGGACGGGUGAGUAACACGUGGGUAACCUACCUAUAAGACUGGGAUAACUUCGGGAAACCGGAGCUAAUACCGGAUAACAUUUAGAACCGCAUGGUUCUAAAGUGAAAGAUGGUUUUGCUAUCACUUAUAGAUGGACCCGCGCCGUAUUAGCUAGUUGGUAAGGUAACGGCUUACCAAGGCGACGAUACGUAGCCGACCUGAGAGGGUGAUCGGCCACACUGGAACUGAGACACGGUCCAGACUCCUACGGGAGGCAGCAGUAGGGAAUCUUCCGCAAUGGGCGAAAGCCUGACGGAGCAACGCCGCGUGAGUGAUGAAGGGUUUCGGCUCGUAAAACUCUGUUAUUAGGGAAGAACAAAUGUGUAAGUAACUGUGCACAUCUUGACGGUACCUAAUCAGAAAGCCACGGCUAACUACGUGCCAGCAGCCGCGGUAAUACGUAGGUGGCAAGCGUUAUCCGGAAUUAUUGGGCGUAAAGCGCGCGUAGGCGGUUUCUUAAGUCUGAUGUGAAAGCCCACGGCUCAACCGUGGAGGGUCAUUGGAAACUGGGAAACUUGAGUGCAGAAGAGGAAAGUGGAAUUCCAUGUGUAGCGGUGAAAUGCGCAGAGAUAUGGAGGAACACCAGUGGCGAAGGCGACUUUCUGGUCUGUAACUGACGCUGAUGUGCGAAAGCGUGGGGAUCAAACAGGAUUAGAUACCCUGGUAGUCCACGCCGUAAACGAUGAGUGCUAAGUGUUAGGGGG